rnacentral:rRNA from 1 species
GCAAGUCGAACGAACUUCCGUUAAUUGAUUAUGACGUACUUGUACUGAUUGAGAUUUUAACACGAAGUGAGUGGCGAACGGGUGAGUAACACGUGGGUAACCUGCCCAGAAGUAGGGGAUAACACCUGGAAACAGAUGCUAAUACCGUAUAACAGAGAAAACCGCAUGGUUUUCUUUUAAAAGAUGGCUCUGCUAUCACUUCUGGAUGGACCCGCGGCGUAUUAGCUAGUUGGUGAGGUAAAGGCUCACCAAGGCAGUGAUACGUAGCCGACCUGAGAGGGUAAUCGGCCACAUUGGGACUGAGACACGGCCCAGACUCCUACGGGAGGCAGCAGUAGGGAAUCUUCCACAAUGGACGCAAGUCUGAUGGAGCAACGCCGCGUGAGUGAAGAAGGGUUUCGGCUCGUAAAGCUCUGUUGUUAAAGAAGAACGUGGGUAAGAGUAACUGUUUACCCAGUGACGGUAUUUAACCAGAAAGCCACGGCUAACUACGUGCCAGCAGCCGCGGUAAUACGUAGGUGGCAAGCGUUAUCCGGAUUUAUUGGGCGUAAAGCGAGCGCAGGCGGUCUUUUAAGUCUAAUGUGAAAGCCUUCGGCUCAACCGAAGAAGUGCAUUGGAAACUGGGAGACUUGAGUGCAGAAGAGGACAGUGGAACUCCAUGUGUAGCGGUGAAAUGCGUAGAUAUAUGGAAGAACACCAGUGGCGAAGGCGGCUGUCUGGUCUGCAACUGACGCUGAGGCUCGAAAGCAUGGGUAGCGAACAGGAUUAGAUACCCUGGUAGUCCAUGCCGUAAACGAUGAUUACUAAGUGUUGGAGGGUUUCCGCCCUUCAGUGCUGCAGCUAACGCAUUAAGUAAUCCGCCUGGGGAGUACGACCGCAAGGUUGAAACUCAAAAGAAUUGACGGGGGCCCGCACAAGCGGUGGAGCAUGUGGUUUAAUUCGAAGCUACGCGAAGAACCUUACCAGGUCUUGACAUCUUCUGACAGUCUAAGAGAUUAGAGGUUCCCUUCGGGGACAGAAUGACAGGUGGUGCAUGGUUGUCGUCAGCUCGUGUCGUGAGAUGUUGGGUUAAGUCCCGCAACGAGCGCAACCCUUAUUACUAGUUGCCAGCAUUAAGUUGGGCACUCUAGUGAGACUGCCGGUGACAAACCGGAGGAAGGUGGGGACGACGUCAAAUCAUCAUGCCCCUUAUGACCUGGGCUACACACGUGCUACAAUGGAUGGUACAACGAGUCGCGAGACCGCGAGGUUAAGCUAAUCUCUUAAAACCAUUCUCAGUUCGGACUGUAGGCUGCAACUCGCCUACACGAAGUCGGAAUCGCUAGUAAUCGCGGAUCAGCAUGCCGCGGUGAAUACGUUCCCGGGCCUUGUACACACCGCCCGUCACACCAUGAGAGU